UAGACCAGGAGGCCUGGAUCUGCAGCUGCA
rnacentral:piRNA from 1 species